rnacentral:rRNA from 1 species
AGAGUUUGAUCAUGGCUCAGGACGAACGCUGACGGUGUGCUUUAGGCAUGCAAGUCGAACGAGAAAGCCCUUCGGGGUGAGUAAAGUGGCGAACGGGUGAGUAACACGUGGGCAACCUGCCCCUCGCAGGGGGACAACCGGAGGAAACUCCGGCUAAUACCCCGUACGCUUGUUGGAUCGCAUGGUCCGGCAAGGAAAGGUAGCUUCGGCCAUCCGGCGAGGGAUGGGCCCGCGUUGCAUUAGCUAGUUGGUGGGGUAAUGGCCUACCAAGGCGACGAUGCGUAGCUGGUCUGAGAGGAUGAUCAGCCACACUGGGACUGAGACACGGCCCAGACUCCUACGGGAGGCAGCAGCCAGGAAUCUUGGGCAAUGGGCGAAAGCCUGACCCAGCAACACCGUGUGGGUGACGAAGGCCUUAGGGUCGUAAAGCCCUGUUGAUAGGGACGAAGGGCGAAGGGUUAAUAGCCCCUAGCUUGACGGUACCUUUCGAGGAAGCCCCGGCUAACUACGUGCCAGCAGCCGCGGUAAUACGUAGGGGGCGAGCGUUGUCCGGAAUUAUUGGGCGUAAAGAGCGUGUAGGCGGUUCGGUAAGUCUGCUGUGAAAUCCUGGGGCUCAACCCUGGGCGUGCAGCGGAUACUGCCGGGCUAGAGGGUGGUAGAGGCGAGUGGAAUUCCGAGUGUAGCGGUGAAAUGCGCAGAUAUUCGGAGGAACACCAGUAGCGAAGGCGGCUCGCUGGGCCACACCUGACGCUGAGACGCGAAAGCGUGGGGAGCGAACAGGAUUAGAUACCCUAGUAGUCC